rnacentral:rRNA from 1 species
AUGUGUGUUCCACCUAGGGGAACGUCCUCGGCCGUCCUCGGCCGAGCGCAUAGCCGUCGCACGGAAGGGAGACGAGGCUACAUCGUCCGAGAGAGAAUAGGCUUGGCCGGGAUGCCCACUUUCUGUUCGACGGAAUGCCGGCCUCGCCAGCGCCAUGCUGGGCGAUCGGCUGUUUACGCAUCGCAUCCUACUCCAUCAGAAUCCUCUAAAGCUGACCAAUGCGACUGUUAUGACCGGGGUAACUUAUACUCAUAG